ACGGAGAAGUGAACAGCGCUCUCUCUCUCCCUCUACCUCAGUCACUCAGGUUUGCAGGUCUUUUCCGUUAACAUUUAGGGUUUCUUCAGCUUCAGGUUUGUUUUUUACUUUGGUUCAAACUAGUACUUACUUAGUAACCAGUAGAUAUCUAGUAAACGUGGGGUUUGUUCAGACACGGCGCUUGGUAGACUGUGACUCGCGUUGCGUCUCUGUCUGUCGGAGUUUUUUUUUUUUUUGAAACCGCCUGCUGGCUCUAACCAGAUCUGAAAAACACC